rnacentral:misc_RNA from 1 species
AGUCGUAACAAGGUUUCCGUAGGUGAACCUGCGGAAGGAUCAUUACUAAAUCCAACCUCUUUAUUAAAAGACAUGUUGAAAUGAUGUGAUGUUGUGAGAGAAGAGAAUAAUGUUGUGUGUCUACACAGACACACACACUUUUCACCUCCUCACACACACCCAUAUACACGAUGUAACCAAUGGACAGCCAUGAUUUAUCAUAAUAUUUUAUAUAAAGCAUAACUUUUAACAAUGGAUCUCUUGGCUCUU